UACGGAAGGGGCAAGCGUUGUUCGGAAUCAUUGGGCGUAAAGGGCGCGUAGGUGGUCGUGUAUGUCUCCCGUGAAAGCAGACGGCUCAACCGUCUUCCGUCGGGAGAAACUGCAGGACUUGAGGCUGGGAGGGGCUGGUGGAAUUCCCCGUGUAGCGGUGAAAUGCGUAGAUAUUGGGAGGAACACCGGUGGCGAAGGCGGCUACCUGGACCGGUUCUGACGCUGACUGCGCGAAAGCGUCGGGAUAGCAAAGAGG
rnacentral:rRNA from 1 species